CUGAGAUCAGAAGAGCCAGUUUAUAGAUCUGGGUGGAGCCAGCUGAUCCACCAAGUUCAAGAGAGAGUCUCAGGAACAAACAGCAAAGUUAUUUACAACUUUUAUCUUCUUCUGAUAGUAACUAUUUUGAUAAUGACAAUAAGUUAUCUGAAUGGUGCCUGCAACUUCUGUGACCAUUUUGCCAUGUUGGGACCAAGUGUGAAUGCAAAGUUUGCACAUAGAGGAGAACUGACCAAUCGGAGAAUGGAAAACUUCUUGAUCAUUGAUGACAGCAGUCAACCAGUGAAGCCAUCAAGCCUGGAGUUUUUCCUACUGCUGGAAUUCUUGUCAUUGCAGAAAAUCAAUGUUGUGUUCUGAUUUGGGGCAUUCUAGCUUGCAAAUAGAGGCAUCUUAGCUGACACCAAAUGCUCCCUAAGGAUAUUCCAAAGAUAAAAUUGAUGUCUUCAUUUUGAAGGGCAUUGAUAAAGUUUUACAUUUGUCUUUAUUGUAGUGAAGAUUUUUAAAUUUAAAAAAUAAUGUCUGAAUUGAUUGAUUAAUUGCUUUAUGCAGGCAGCAACACAGGGUGAAAUACAAAUAGGUGAUUGACAAGUGCUGAUUAUUCAAGAGAAGUAGAUAAUCCAUUUAUGGUGAUUAUGUCUAGUUUUUCUUCGUUUUUUAAGUAGCUAUUUUUUGAAUGCAGAGUUUGUAAUUACUCCAAAUGAAGUCAAGACCCAAGACAUAACAAAAAGAUUAGAGUGUCUGAAGAAAACUGGAUGGUUUUGACACAUGUGAACUUAUAUCCUAGUCUGUUUUCAUAUUCCAAAAGCGAACCAAAUUGACAUUUUGGCUUUUCAAGGGUUUUUAGAUUAUAAUCAUAUCUUUUUCCUUAGGUGAGAAUUCUUGAGAGUAUAUGAUUAAUAGCAUAUUUUUCUGAUUAUAAGAAAUCAUUAAUUUUAAUAGUAAAUGUAAUAAUAGAUUUUGAAAAAAAUGUGACAUUAAAACACAGAAGUAUUCAUUAUAAAGACAUUCUAAAUAUCUUUAUGUAACAAAAACAUACCUUGUACACUUGAGGAAUAUGAAAAGUUAAUAUAAAAUGGCAAAUAAGAGAUCACUGGUUAGGUCAAUGGCUGCCGUAACACCAUCUGUGUAGAAAUCAUAUUCAAAUGUCCCUCCCUCCACAAUUUUCAGAUGUAUAAAAAUUUAUCAAUUUUUCUUUGGAAACAACCUCAAAACCAUCAUGCUUUCAUUUAUUUAUUUUUUUCUUUAAGUAAUCAAUCCCCUGUCUCCAGUAUCUACCUCUCAAAAUUACCUUUUCUCAUUUUAAAUAUUACUUAUUCAAAAUGUUCCUGUCUAGUUUUUCAAAAUCGUAUUUAUUUUUCCCCCAUAUCUUUCAAGCCACAGCAAAAGUUUAUUACAGAAUAUUUAUGUGUCUUUUGUGUGAUCAGGGUUUUUAUUGCCAAGACAUGUGUUCCUAUAGUAUUAAAAGGCAUUCCAUUCUCAGUGGCAGCCGGCAGAAAAUUUUGAUGUCUAUUCGGCCAGAGAAGCCUAUGGAAAUGAUUUUAAAUGUAUCAUUUUUGGAAUUCAGAUAGAUACAAACCUGUUUGAUGCAUUUGAAGUUGCUCAUUGAAAACCAGAAUGUGUCAAUGAACAUGGAGACCGCUGAAAGAAUAGUCAUGGUCUGAAUAGUGUAACAAAAAUAUACAAGGCAAUAUACAUUUAUAAAUGGAUGAAGAGAUAGAUAGGUGAAAAGAUAGGUUAGAGAGAGAGAUUCAUACAACUCUGCUAUGAUAUCUCUAAAAUGAAGACAGGACAUGUAUAUUAGCUCGUUCUCACACUGCUAUGAAGAAAUGCCUGAGACUGGGUAAUUUAUGAAGGAAAGAGUUUCACAUUGCUGGGAGGCCUCAGGAAACUUCCAGUGAUGGUGGAAGCCAAAGGAGAAGCAGGCACCUUCUUCACAGGGUGGCAGGACAAAGUGAGUGCAAGCAGGGGAAAUGCCAGGCACUUCUAAAACCAUCAGCUCUCCUGAAACUCACUCAUUAUCAUGAGAACAGCAUGAGGGGAAACUGCCCCCGUGAUUCAAUUACCUUCACCUGGUCCCACCUUUGAUAUGUGGAGUUUAUGGGGAUUACAAUUCGAGGUGAGAUUUGGGUGGGGACACAGAACCAAACCAUAUCAACAUGUGAAGGAAUGAUUUUUUUUUUUUUUGCCACCCAGAGGGAGACUGAGAUGUGCUUCUGAGAUCGCUAAGCAGCAAAGAAGGCAAAACUCCUCCAAGCUCUAGCAGAGAGAGGAGCUAUGCCAAGAGUCUCAGCGAAGAACGAGCAGAGGGUGGCAGAAGCAGACUACUCAGUAGGCUCUAACCACCGAUUAGAGACAGUGGGACUGAGGCCCACAGGGACUGAGGGAGCAGCACCCAGAGUGGCUGGAGGACAGAGACACAAGUGUCAGUACCGGUGCAGAAAUGUGGGGAAACUUCUCCCAUUGGAAGGCCUGAUUCAUGUGCUGCACCAGAGAGUAGGAAUGUUAUAGGUGAUUUGGGGGCCAAACUAUCAUUAGCCUGCUUUGGGAUUUUUUUUGUAUCUAUAAUGUAUUUGUGCAUUAAUCAAUACAUUUUCAGUUUGCCAAACACAAGCAAAAACUUCAGAAUAUUCAAGGUAGAUAAGUAGUAGCAAAACUUUUGUUAGAUAUGGGCAGAAUGCAUGUGAUAUGUUAAAGUAUGAGAUAGGUAAUGUGGAAAUAGGGCAUGUGUAUUAAACAGAAAGGAGUAGAAGUACUGGGAGAUAUUUACAAGCUAAAUAUCCACUAUAUGUAAGUAUGCAGGAGCCACUAAAUGUUCAGCAUAUAGUCAGCAGGCAUGGAUACUUAAUUUUCAUGAGGUUUUAAAUUCAGCCACAUGCUGAUGACACCUAUUCUGGCCUCAAAUAUCCUCUGCUCAUAUUAAUUAAUUAAUUCAUUCAUCCCAUAGCUGUUCUUCAGUCAAGCUUCAGCUUUGUCAAGUUACACAUCCCCGAGUCUCUCCAAUAGAGCAAGUGUGUAAUUGGUCAAGGAUACUGCUUAUCUGUGGGCCCCUUUGUUUGAACCUAAAUUCUGUCCUUGUAUUGUGGCACCAUCAGCAGAAAGAUUGACAUGGCAGAGAGUGUUGGGACAGCUGAGCAUUGUAUGCCACGGGAUUCAGGCAGUGAGGACUUCUUACUUGCACCCUAUGCUAAGUGUCAUCUCUUUUGCCUUGCUUCUCACUCUGUGAUUUAAAGCGAUUCAAUAACUGUGUGAUUGAGCAUUUUGAUUUUGUUUGUGAGCUUCGCUGCUUAGUGCCCACUGGGCUGUCUUUCCUAAUAGUGUGCACAGAGGUCCCCAUUGCAUCAAGACAAAUUCCCGUGCAGUAGCAUCACCAACCAUCUUCUAUAUGACAUAUUUGUUUAUUUUUGUUCCAAACCCUAGAAAAGUUCAUGGAGACUAGAAGGUACUCCAGAAGUAAUUGUAGAAUCAAAGAAUAAAGUUUAAAAUUGCUCUUCCUUAGGAGCUACCCUAUUAUGACACUGAGCAUUAUUUGCAAAACAUGCAGUUCAAACUUUAAUAAAAAUUUCAAGCACCUAUAAGCCAGAAACUCUCAUAUUCAUCCUUCCACUCACCUAAGUGUAAGAAACAAUUUGCAUGUUAUGGAAUAAAACUCUGUAUUUAUAAUAGGAGAGGAGAAAAGUAAUAUAGCACCUACUAUAUAAGGUUUGUAAGUAUGUUACAUAUAAUGAAUACACAGUAUCAAUGAGGGAGAUACUAUGAUUAACUCCCUUUUACAAAUAAGAAAACUGAGGCUCAGAAAGGUUGCAUAAUGUUUCCAAAGUCAUGAAAGGUAGAAUUUAAAUCUCAAAGUCCUGCCUGUCAUUUAUAAUGGAAAAUCAGAGAGAUUAAAGUAGUCACCUGAGAUCAUGUGAUUUGGAAGUGGCUAGAAGGUAAACACCCUGACACCCAUUCAGACUUUUGCCAAAACUCCUCCAAUACCAAGCGCUUUCUAUAAACUCAUUCAGAUGGUGUAAAUGUUACAAAAUGUAAUGAUAUUAAUAAAAUGUUAUAACAAA